rnacentral:lncRNA from 1 species
UAGGAUGUCGCAUCUUAUACAUACGUAUCUUCUUGGACUAAGAAGAAUCAGAGCAUCCGUAGCUCGGCUCACGCACGCCAAACACAACAGACACAGGCAAACGUGGAAUCCGAAUGCCAAUCGCUGGACUUAUAUCAGAUUCCGAACCAAAACACACCACACUGGAAACCAGAUGCCACUUGAUGGACUUAUACCGGACUCCAAGCACACAACUAGACACAGGAAACCGAAUGCCAAUCGCUGGACUUACGUCAGACUCCACGCCAACACAGGAAGAAGAAG